rnacentral:rRNA from 1 species
GACGUAGGGCGCGAGCGUUGUCCGGAUUUAUUGGGCGUAAAGAGCUCGUAGGCGGCUUGUUGCGUCGACUGUGAAAACCCGCGGCUUAACUGCGGGCUUGCAGUUGAUACGGGCAGGCUAGAGUUCGGUAGGGGAGACUGGAAUUCCUGGUGGUAGCGGUGAAAUGCGCAGAUAUCAGGAAGAACACCCGUGGCGAAGGCGGCUCUCUGGG